rnacentral:rRNA from 1 species
CCUACGGGAGGCAGCAGUGGGGAAUAUUGCACAAUGGGCGAAACCCUGAUGCAGCGACGCCGCGUGAGUGAAGAAGUCUUUCGGUAUGCAAAGCUCUAUCAGCAGGGAAGAAAAUGACGGUACCUGACUAAGAAGCCCCGGCUAACUACGUGCCAGCAGCCGCGGUAAUACGUAGGGGGCAAGCGUUAUCCGGAUUUACUGGGGGUAAAGGGAGCGUAGGCGGCCAGACAAGUCAGAAGUGAAAGCCCAGGGCUCAACCUUGGGACUGAUUGUGAAACUGCCGGGCUGGAGGACAGGAGAGGUAAGCGGAAUUCCUAGUGUAGCGGUGAAAUGCGUAGAUAUUAGGAGGAACACCAGUGGCGAAGGCGGCUGACUGGACUGUAACUGACGUUGAGGCUCGAAAGCGUGGGGAGCAAACAGGAUUAGAUACCCGUGUAGUC